rnacentral:sRNA from 1 species
AUUAAUCUAUUCAGGCGGUUGACAAAACUUCACAGAAGCUAUCCCUAGACAACAAGUUCAACAACAGAUUAAUUCACUCCCGUGAUAGAAAUCCUCAAGCAAAGCUAAACACUGACCUAAAUCCCUUUAGCGAUCUCUAACUAAGCAGGCAUUAUCGAAUCAACAUGUUAAAGUCAAUACCCUCUCUAAAGCCAAUCCCUUGGGGUAGAGUCAGAUAUCUCUGGAAUUAAUAGGAUCCAACGCCCAUUAAACGUCUUCUAAGCGCUGGACGUCUGGACUCAUACUCCACAUUAGCCAGUGAAAUAAGCAAUAAGCGCAACUAAUCCAGAAGGGAUUCUAGUUUUCUAAACUCAACCACCUAAAACGACCAAGUAAACCACAACUAUUCUAUCCCAUCCUCAGAAAUACAGUUCACUACUCAGACAUAAUCAAAGACAAUAACAAAGCAACAAUUGAAAACAUGAUAACAGAAAUGACGAAAGACUUAAACGAAAACUGAAUAUCAAAUACUUGAAAACGAAACUACAAAGUCGCAGAAAAAACACUGCAGCUAUCAAAGUUGCGAAAAUGUAAAAGCGAGAUAAAAACGGAUAAUAGCGGAUAAUAGCCGACGCCCUAGGGAAAACCCUAAGAGGCAGUUUAUAUAAGCGAGAAAUAAAACAAAUAAGGAAACUAAAUAUAUAGCGAAUCUUCACGUCAUGAUCCUGCGACCGAAUAUGUCAUUGGCAUCUAACGGGCAGAAAUGAGCUUCCUAGUGAUCGAAUAUGUCAUUGAUCAAACUGGGCUUCAGGGGCUCCGUCUUGCGAAAUGUAGUGAAGUCGAGAUUGAAUGGUCCAAC